rnacentral:miRNA from 1 species
UCCCUGUCAGGUAAUCAACAAU